rnacentral:rRNA from 1 species
CCUACGGGUGGCAGCAGUGGGGAAUAUUGCGCAAUGGACGAAAGCCUGACGCAGCGACGCAGCGUGAGGGAUGAAGGUCUUCGGAUCGUAAACCUCUGUCAGCAGGGAAGUACGGUCACUGUGCUAAUCAGCAGUGAAUUGACGGUACCUGCAAAGGAAGCACCGGCUAACUCCGUGCCAGCAGCCGCGGUAAUACGGAGGGUGCGAGCGUUAAUCGGAAUUACUGGGCGUAAAGCGAUCGUAGGCGGUAUGUCAAGUCAAGGGUGAAAUCCCCGCGCUCAACGUGGGAACUGCCUUUGAAACUGGCAAACUGGAGUGUGGGAGAGGAUAGUGGAAUUCCAGGUGUAGGAGUGAAAUGCGUAGAUAUCUGGAGGAACAUCGGUGGCGAAGGCGACUAUCUGGCACAUAACUGACGCUGAGGAGCGAAAGCGUGGGUAGCAAACAGGAUUAGAUACCCGAGUAGUC